rnacentral:rRNA from 1 species
AACGAACAUUGGCGGCAGGCCUAACACAUGCAAGUCGAGCGAGGCUUCGAGCCGAGCGGCAGACGGGUGCGUACAACAUAGGAACCUUCCUUUCGCUGGAGGAUAACAGUCAGAAAUGACUGCUAAUACUGCAUACGACCGAGGCGCAAGCCCGGUGAAAGCUUUAGCGGCGAAAGAUGGGCCUAUGCCUGAUUAGCUAGUUGGUGAGGUAACGGCUCACCAAGGCAAUGAUCAGUAGCUGGUCUGAGAGGAUGAUCAGCCACACUGGAACUGAGACACGGUCCAGACUCCUACGGAGGCAGCAGUGGGGAAUAUUGGACAAUGGGCGAAAGCCUGAUCCAGCAAUGCCGCGUGAGUGAUGAAGGCCCUAGGGUUGUAAAGCUCUUUUACCAGGGAUGAUAAUGACAGUACCUGGAGAAUAAAGCUCCGGCUAACUCCGUGCCAGCAGCCGCGGUAA